rnacentral:lncRNA from 1 species
GAUCAAAGAAUAGAAAGUGACCAAAUUGACCAAUCAAAGUCAUUCUUCAAAAAUGUUUUGAAUGAAUAGAUGUAAGUGAACCCUAUGAAGGAAAGCCGUCUUUAUCUAAAACAGAAUGAAACCACUGCAGUGAAUGAGAGCCGCAGUAUAAGAGAGAAUCUAUCCUGGGCCGGGCUCCAGCCUCGAGAGUCAGUCACCUUCCACACCAGCUCCGCUUCUUCCAGAGCAGCAGCCCCCUUCAUUAAGAUCUGCUUGGGUCUGGCGUCUGGACGUACCUUGGAUUCCACCUUUUCCACCUUGUGCAUCAUCCCAUUCCUGCUCUGGAUCUGGCUUCCCUGACCCCAAAGUCUCCCACUCUUGACUUCUCCAGAGGAUCAAUCCAUAGGGCAGGUAAACACCUUGUCCUUCUCUAUUUUCUUCCCUUACCUGAGCUCUGUUCUGGGUUUCACCAAAAACUUUAAAGCCAACCUCUUCCUGUUGAACUGACAAAGUUUUCUUCAUUAUCUUUGUGGUUUCUCAGGAAGGGAGGAGAUAAACCUGUGUGUGGCUCAACAGGAUUUUUUAAUUAGAAAACUUUAGAAUCUUUUUAGGAGAAACUUUUCCUAAUAGGGAAAAGAAUGCUGCCUGCCCAAUUGUCAGCUCUAAGUUAAGCUGUGUUCUGAAGUAAGUCAACAAAUUCCCUAACCUUUUCUUAUCCCUGAUUUUUGGUGAUGGGAAGAGUUAAAGGAUCACAGGACAUUGUGAGUAGGACUUACAGUUAUGAAAUGCAGAUUAUGUGCUAAACAAUCUCCUCACUUGUGGUAUUGGUCACUUUCACAUCCCUAGGGCAAAAUACCUGGCACUGCAACUUAAAGGAGAAGUUUAGUUGGCUGCAUGGUUUAGGAAAGCUGCUCACUUCAUGGCAGUCAGAAAGCAGAAAGAGAAGGGAGGAACUAAGGAGGGAAGCGCGUCACCUCCCCAGUAACAGACCUCUUCCAACCAGGCCCCACCUUCUAACAGGACAUUUAGCUAUGAACUCAUCAAUAGAUCAAUCCACAGAUGGGUAUAGAGCCCCAUGAUCUGGUCACAUUUUAAAAGUCCCUCUGCUGAACACCUGAGACCUGUGGGGUACAUGCUAGAUCUAAACCAUAACAGGC